rnacentral:rRNA from 1 species
UACGGAGGGUGCAAACGUUGCUCGGAACCAUUGGGCGUAAAGCGCACGUAGGCGGACUGUUAAGUCGGAUGUGAAAUCCCUCAGCUUAACUGAGGAAGUGCAUUCGAAACUGGCAGUCUUGAGUAUGGAAGAGGGUCGCGGAAUUCCCGGUGUAGAGGUGAAAUUCGUAGAUAUCGGGAGGAACACCAGUGGCGAAGGCGGCGACCUGGGCCAAUACUGACGCUGAGGUGCGAAAGCGUGGGGAGCAAACAGG